UACGUAGGGGGCAAGCGUUGUCCGGAAUCAUUGGGCGUAAAGAGCGUGUAGGCGGCCCGAUAAGUCCGCUGUGAAAGUCCAGGGCUCAACCCUGGAAUGCCGGUGGAUACUGUCGGGCUCGAAUCCGGAAGAGGUGAGUGGAAUUCCUGGUGUAGCGGUGAAAUGCGCAGAUAUCAGGAGGAACACCAAUGGCGAAGGCAGCUCACUGGGACGGUAUUGACGCUGAGACGCGAAAGCGUGGGGAGCAAACAGGAUUAG
rnacentral:rRNA from 1 species